rnacentral:rRNA from 1 species
UACGUAGGGUGCAGGCGUUAAUCGGAAUUACUAGGCGUAAAGCGUGCGCAGGCGGCUUUGCAAGACAGAUGUGAAAUCCCCGGGCUCAACCUGGGAACUGCAUUUGUGACUGCAUCGCUCGAGUGUGGCAGAGGGGGAUGGAAUUCCGCGUGUAGCAGUGAAAUGCGUAGAUAUGCGGAGGAACACCGAUGGCGAAGGCAAUCCCCUGGGCCUGCACUGACGCUCAUGCACGAAAGCGUGGGGAGCAAACAGG